rnacentral:lncRNA from 1 species
CCCUGUCUUGAGAUAAUCGAGCCAUAUUUCUUGAAGGAUCUAGCAACAGUCUUCGCCUAAGCCCGUUAUCGCAUCCUUCAAUGUAGACCCCAGACUCUACUGGUCUUCUCUCAAAUCCAUACUUUGACUCUGCGAACUUAAAAACAAGGUAAGAUGCAUAGUUGGUUCUGAGUGACAAAACUUUGGUCUCUAUCAUUGCUUUGACAUCAAACCACCACACAUACUUAAGUUCAGCCACCUCAGGAAACCUGCCAAUGCAUUGACAAAAGAGCAAAUUAUAUGAUGACAAAAUCGAUUAUACCACUAAAGAUUAAAAAUGCAAACGUGCAAUGCCAACAUAUAUGAACAAACCUAGACUCCGGUAGAGAAGUCAAUAUCCAAUGGUUAGGUUCAUCUCCCCAUGCUAUGGAAAGCCCUUUUGUCCCAACCAUGUAACAUUUUUUCCCACUCUCUGGCUGCAGCGCAAAGCUCUGUCAAAGUACUCAUGAUGUUAGCUUUUCUAUAAAAUCAGUUUUGUUGUAUUUCAAUGCUUACUAAGAUUUCAACUGGGUGUUAAUUGCAGACAUAUACGUCCAGACUUUUAAAGAGAAUAUAUAAAAGCUUAGAACUCAAAACAUCAAAGAUAAUUUAAAAUUGUGUUUCUACGAAACAAGAAGAAAAUUCAAGUCAAAAAAAUUGAUGAGUUCAAGGUAUAGUUAGCUGCUGUACGGCCAAGGCGGAUGUACGGUACAGCAGCGUUGUUCUGCUUUUGGUGAGAACGACCAGAGAUAAUUUAAUAUGAUAAUUGUUGACUAUCUUUAUUCGCAGCGGGAAACUUAUUUAUAGUAGCUAACAUCACAAGUCUUUGGUUCUUAGCCAACAAUAUCAGCUAGAAUAUAGUAAAAUAAAACAAGAAAAAUAUUUAAAGAUAAACCUAGUGAAUCCAAAUCAAACAUGACAACCACAAUUUGAUUCUCUUCCAAACCGGCAACGAAUAGUUUGACGUGGUGAUUCUCCCGCUAUUGCUUCGACAUUCAAACAAACUCAUCCCGCACGUGAAACAUGGUCUGCAUGAAGUUGCAUGAGCACCUCUUUGGCUCCUUAUCAUAAUAACUCUAUUCUUAAAAGUAAUUUACUUUCAAAAUCAUCCACAACUGUAGCUAAGAUCCUAUGGAUAUGAAGGAUCGACUCCAAUGGCCCUUGAUCAUUGUCCUUUACAAAGGACAGAUCCAAGUUAGUCUUGUUAAAGUCCUCUGAGCUUACCCCUGAGAGCUCUACGCCUAUAGUAUUCUUGGGAAUUUGCUGAAUCCUCUUCACGGGUCACGUUAUUCAGCUAAGUGAUGUGCCAUCUCACGGCUUGCCAGAUGGGGUGAGUGCUUGGCACAAGACUACGUACUCACUGAGGCAAUAGAUCGAACACCUGAUUCAUUUUCGCGAACACCAGCCUCAAUCUAACAUUUACGCAUAGAAUUGGAUGUGCAACUAGAUGAAGCUCCAUACGUCAAAUCUUAUAAAUUGAAUGUUGUUGUAAAGAAAUAGCAGUGCUUAACUUUGUUCAAAGUCAUUAUUGUCUUGAAGAACAAGAAAAUUCAGGUUAGCUAGAAACGACUGGUGACCGAUUAAAGGUUACAUACAAAUCAUUCAUCAAGAUACAGGAAAGCUCAAUUAAUCUGAAAAUUAUUCAUUAACCUAAUGCAUUCAACAAUAAACUUAUGCCACCUCUCAGUUGUUGCAAUAGGGAAAUUGAAUAAAAUAAAGAAGUAUUUGUGGAAUUCUUGGUUGAUUGAUCCGCCUAAAGAGCUUACAUACAUCACUGAAUGACUAAAUGUUGCAGUGUCAAAACCAUAAUUCAAUACAUGCUAUCAGCCACUUUUAGGCCUAACCUCAAUUCCUUGUAUAAUGAGCCCACGCUUGGUGAUGAAGCUAUCAAAUUCAAAUAGACUACACACCAACUUGCCAUCAUCUCCAUUUUCAUUGAAGAACUCGCCCAUCUCAAUUUCCAUCCACCCAUCUCCCCUGUCUUGAGAUAAUCGAGCCAUAUUUCUUGAAGGAUCUAGCAACAGUCUUCGCCUAAGCCCGUUAUCGCAUCCUUCAAUGUAGACCCCAGACUCUACUGGUCUUCUCUCAAAUCCAUACUUUGACUCUGCGAACUUAAAAACAAGGUAAGAUGCAUAGUUGGUUCUGAGUGACAAAACUUUGGUCUCUAUCAUUGCUUUGACAUCAAACCACCACACAUACUUAAGUUCAGCCACCUCAGGAAACCUG